CGGGGGGAACGCGAAGAACCUUACCAAGGCUUGACAUGCAUCUCUAAGCGCGUGAAAGCGCGUGACCCUUCGGGGGAUUUGCACAGGUGCUGCAUGGCCGUCGUCAGCUCGUGUCGUGAGAUGUUGGGUUAAGUCCCGCAACGAGCGCAACCCUUGUGAACAGUUGCCAGCGCGUCAUGGCGGGAACUCUGUUCAGACUGCCCAGAUCAACUGGGAGGAAGGUGGGGACGACGUCAGGUCAGUAUGGCCCUUACGCCUUGGGCUGCACACGUACUACAAUGCCCAGUACAAUGAGAACCGAUGCCGCGAGGUGGAGGAAAUCUGCAAAACUGGGCCCAGUUCGGAUUGGAGGCUGCAACUCGCCUCCAUGAAGUUGGAAUCGCUAGUAAUGGCGCAUCAUCUACGGCGCCGUGAAUACGUUCCCGGGUCUUGUACACACCGA
rnacentral:rRNA from 1 species